GGGCGUCGCCUCAGCCCGGUGUCCAGGGUCUAGUAGCGCCCCACUCACUGUGGGAGAAAGCCAAGCAGCCGCUAUCCUUGCCAUAUGCCGGACCAGUUCUGGUGGUCACAGGGCCGAGUGCCCACGACGUGGGGAAGUCAGAUGCACCGCUGCUGAUGUCGGCGGCCAUGCCCUGGAUGGCGCUGCGUCGGUGCGCCCCGCGACAGGGAACACAGGCUCACGCCAUCCACACGAUAGGCGAGGUGUCGACGUGACUGGAACGUAUAUGGCGGCCGGCCCCUCGCACUGCGUGCUGGUGUGUGACGCCUGAGUGCCACCGUGAGGGAGAUGCACCAGGUGGCGACCGGCAUAGUGGGGGUGGGUAGAGUUUAUCUUUAUGGAGCAGGGGCCGUGCUCUCCGAUGACCAGGUCGGCGCAUCGCUGUGGGGCGUGUGCACGGCUGCUUUGCAGCCGCGCGAUGGGCCCUGUGACAGGCCGAUGGGUCGCGCGGCGUUUGGCCUGAUGCUCUGUGGCAGUGUACGGACACGUUCGAAAGAAAAGGUCCUUCUUCGCACUGUGCUUAUUUUUAUUUGGCGCCGCUGUUGGUUCUUGAUCUUGUGCUUUUUUGCGCUCUCUGGGCGUGCGUGGUCCCACGCAUAAAAAUCGCCUCAGACACCCUCUCCGCAGCGCACAUGAAAACACGAAGGGAUUGCCGUUAGUGAGGGUGGUGGGAGUCUGCGGCCUACUAGCACCUCAUCACCUCUCCUUCUUUCCUUCGUUGUUGAGUGGCAAUGAAUGCUUUACGGCUGACCGUUUUACUUAGCGACUUCUUCUGCCAUGCUUGAUGAUGCACCCUUUCCGCCGGUACCUCUUUCUCCCUCUGGCGUGUUCACCCUUCAUGUUACCACUCGCUGCCUUCGCUUCUUUAUGCUUAUACCAAUGAAAG
rnacentral:misc_RNA from 1 species